UGGAGUACAGACGUGUGCUCUUUUCAUCUUGUUUUUUUGUAUAAAAAGAAAAUCCAUUUAUAUCAUAUCCAGUAUAACAUAUGACUUGCAUACAAGGACCAUGAGCUAACCAUCGUACUGUU